rnacentral:rRNA from 1 species
GCAAGUCGAGCGCGAAAACACUUCGGUGUGAGUAGAGCGGCGGACGGGUGAGUAAUGCUUGGGAAUCUGCCCAGUAGUGGGGGAUAACCUGUGGAAACGCAGGCUAAUACCGCAUACGUCCUACGGGAGAAAGCAGGGGAUCUUCGGACCUUGCGCUAUUGGAUAAGCCCAAGUCAGAUUAGCUUGUUGGUAGGGUAAUGGCCUACCAAGGCAACGAUCUGUAGCUGGUCUGAGAGGAUGAUCAGCCACACUGGGACUGAGACACGGCCCAGACUCCUACGGGAGGCAGCAGUGGGGAAUAUUGCACAAUGGGCGAAAGCCUGAUGCAGCCAUGCCGCGUGUGUGAAGAAGGCUCUAGGGUUGUAAAGCACUUUCAGUAGGGAGGAAAUGUUAACGAUUAAUACUCGUUAGCUUUGACGUUACCUACAGAAGAAGCACCGGCAAACUCCGUGCCAGCAGCCGCGGUAAUACGGAGGGUGCGAGCGUUAAUCGGAAUUACUGGGCGUAAAGCGCGCGUAGGUGGUUUGAUAAGCUAGCUGUGAAAGCCCCGGGCUCAACCUGGGAACUGCAGUUAGAACUGUCUGACUAGAGUACAGUAGAGGGUGGCGGAAUUUCCUGUGUAGCGGUGAAAUGCGUAGAUAUGGGAAGGAACAUCAGUGGCGAAGGCGGCCACCUGGACUGAUACUGACACUGAGGUGCGAAAGCGUGAGGAGCAAACAGGAUUAGAUACCCUGGUAGUCCACGCCGUAAACGAUGUCUACUAGCCGUUGGGAGACUUGAUCUCUUAGUGGCGC